GUGGCCUGCUGAAACUGUACUGGUCUAAGAAGGGAGCUCUUGGUGAGGAGAUGGAAGACCUCCUGGAUAAACUUGAUGAACAGACAUCCAACACUGUGUCCAACGGGCACUGAGAGGCCUGCCCAUUUUCCUCAAGAGAAGAUGCAACAGAGGUUUUCCUGAAGUGCUUAGACACUGACAUUUUGGAACCAGUGUUGAACGGUGCAUCAGUUGCCAUCCUCACCAUCCUACAAGAUGACGAUGCUGAUACGUCUGUGCGAGAA